UUAUUUCAUUACUCCUUUGUAAUGCGAUAAUCCUUCUGGUCCUAUACCUGUAUACCUAUUUACCUUACAAUCUGUAUACCUGUUUGCCAUACACCAUCCAUGGCCUCGAGCACCUCCAGGGAUGGGCACCCACAGCUCUGGGCAGCUGUGCCACUGCCUCACCGCCCUCUGACUCCCUUCAGGUGCUGGAAGGCCACAGUGAGGUCUCCCCACAGCCUUCUCUUCUCCCCGCUGCAGAAGCCCAACUCCCUCAGCCUGCCUUCAGAGCUCCAGCCCUCCGAGCAGCUCGGUGGCCCUCCUCUAACAGACGGCACUCGAGCUGCUCUCCCUCUGGCACAGUGCCUUACGGGAUGAGCAGAGCAGGUAACGCUGCGUCCCCGGGACGUUCCGGGCUCGGCGGACGCCCGG
ensembl:lncRNA